UACGUAGGGGGCUAGCGUUUGUCCGGAAUCAUUGGGCGUAAAGCGCGUGUAGGCGGUCCGGUAAGUCCGCUGUGAAAACUCGAGGCUCAACCUCGAGCUGUCGGUGGAAACCGUAAGGCUAGAGUCCGGAAGAGGAGAGUGGAAUUCCUGGUGUAGCGGUGAAAUGCGUAGAUAUCGGAAGGAACACCAGUGGCGAAAGCGGCUUCCUGGUCCAGCACCGACGUCAGGCACGAAAGCGUGGGGAGCAAACAGG
rnacentral:rRNA from 1 species